rnacentral:rRNA from 1 species
AUUGAACGCUGGCGGCAGGCCUAACACAUGCAAGUCGAGCGGAUGCAGGGAGCUUGCUCCUGGAUUCAGCGGCGGACGGGUGAGUAAUGCCUAGGAAUCUGCCUGGUAGUGGGGGAUAACGUCCGGAAACGGGCGCUAAUACCGCAUACGUCCUGAGGGAGAAAGUGGGGGAUCUUCGGACCUCACGCUAUCAGAUGAGCCUAGGUCGGAUUAGCUAGUUGGUGGGGUAAAGGCCUACCAAGGCGACGAUCCGUAACUGGUCUGAGAGGAUGAUCAGUCACACUGGAACUGAGACACGGUCCAGACUCCUACGGGAGGCAGCAGUGGGGAAUAUUGGACCAUGGGCGAAAGCCUGAUCCAGCCAUGCCGCGUGUGUGAAGAAGGGCUUCGGAUUGUAAAGCACUUUAAGUUGGGAGGAAGGGCAGUAAGUUAAUACCUUGCUGUUUUGACGUUACCAACAGAAUAAGCACCGGCUAACUUCGUG